rnacentral:rRNA from 1 species
GAUGAACGCUGGCGGCGUGCCUAAUACAUGCAAGUCGAGCGAACAGACGAGGAGCUUGCUCCUCUGACGUUAGCGGCGGACGGGUGAGUAACACGUGGAUAACCUACCUAUAAGACUGGGAUAACUUCGGGAAACCGGAGCUAAUACCGGAUAAUAUAUUGAACCGCAUGGUUCAAUAGUGAAAGACGGUUUUGCUGUCACUUAUAGAUGGAUCCGCGCCGCAUUAGCUAGUUGGUAAGGUAACGGCUUACCAAGGCAACGAUGCGUAGCCGACCUGAGAGGGUGGUCGGCCACACUGGAAGUUGGACACGGUCCAGGCUCCUGCGGGAGGCAGCAGUAGGGAAUCGUCCGCAGUGGGGGGAAGCCUGACGGAGCGGCGCCACGUGAGUGAUGAAGGUCUUCGGAUCGGAAAACUCUGUUAUUAGGGAAGAACAAAUGUGUAAGUAACUAUGCACGUCUUGACGGUACCUAGUCAGAAAGCCACGGCUAACUACGUG